UACGGAGGGUGCGAGCGUUGUCCGGAAUCAUUGGGCGUAAAGGGCGCGUAGGUGGCGGGACAAGCGUGCGGUGAAAGCCUGGGGCUCAACCCCGGGUCGGCCGUGCGAACUGUUUUGCUUGAGCACUGUAGAGGCGGGUGGAAUUCCGGGUGUAGCGGUGGAAUGCGUAGAGAUCCGGAAGAACACCGGUGGCGAAGGCGGCCCGCUGGGCAGUGGCUGACGCUGAGGCGCGACAGCGUGGGGAGCAAACAGG
rnacentral:rRNA from 1 species